UGCACGCGUUUUAUGCUCUUGGCUGGGUGUUCAGGACGACGACUGGCGAUGCCCGGAAUGAGCGAAGGCUGUCUUCGGCGAGUACACUUUACACCCCGCACUAGCCGCCGCGCGCCCUUGGAGCGAAGCCACAGUCUUCAUUAAAGUGUGCAGUGCUUUCAAGGAAAGUGUUUCCCACGGACCCCGGGCCACGCACCCCUGAGGAGCACCAUAACUGCGGAGCGGUGGUCCUCCCCGCUCGGGUCAGGCGCAGUCAAGACCCUUGGGGCCUUCCUUCAUCUUCGAAGGAAGAGUGAAAUAAGAUAUAUACCCAGGAACGUCUGCGAAACAGCGGCAACACUUGCGUUUUAUUUUAUUGCUCGCCUCUGUAAGCUUCAGUCACUGGCAACCUGGACGUCCUAGGUCGUUUGUCAAGUGCUCCCUGGGACCACCUUGGUCAGAGUAAAACGCUGGAGAAAGAUGACGACCUUCUCACGACCGAGGGCAAAAUGAGAAAGAAAAGUCGCAAAGGAGAGGACGUCGAACCAACGCACUACCGCUUCGCUACCCUGCACAUAUAAAAUGAGAUUGAAGGAUAGAAGUAAAGACGAGGCAAGGAGAAAGGUCAUAUCAGUGCGGAGCACCUGUGGCAGUUCAUUACGCCUCGAUCGCCGAUGCCAGUCGGCAUGAAGAACGGCACCCACGCAUGCGUCUCUUUCCAAGCCUGUGAUGCGUAUAAGGUCGUGGUAUUCUGUUUAUCUAUAAAUGAAUACAUCUUGAAAGUGGAAUA